UAUGUCUUCUUUGACUUUGGAAUUUUUGAAGUACAGCUUCUGGUUGGUUAACUUGUUUGCACCUAAGUACAUGGAUCUCAGCCACCAACAGUUUGUGUGACCACCACCACACACGUAUGAGCUAGUGGGACAUUUAGAGCAGUCGCCGGUAUAACACCGCACAGUAGCAUCAAGCACUCUAGAACCUUCAAACAUUUUGGAUGUGGACGUAAUAACUUGGCAGAUCCAGGAUUUCCCUCGACAUCUGGUAAACUGUAGGAGGUGCCGUCUUGCCCGG